rnacentral:rRNA from 1 species
GAUGAACGCUGGCGGCGUGCCUAAUACAUGCAAGUCGAGCGAACGGACGAGAAGCUUGCUUCUCUGAUGUUAGCGGCGGACGGGUGAGUAACACGUGGAUACCCUACCUAUAAGACUGGGAUAACUUCGGGAAACCGUAGCUAACACCGGAUAAUAUUUUGAACCGCAUGGUUCAAAAGUGAAAGACGGUCUUGCUGUCACUUAUAGAUGGAUCCGCGCUGCAUUAGCUAGUUGGUAAGGUAACGGCUUACCAAGGCAACGAUGCGUAGCCGACCUGAGAGGGUGAUCGGCCACACUGGAACUGAGACACGGUCCAGACUCCUACGGGAGGCAGCAGUAGGGAAUCUUCCGCAAUGGGCGAAAGCCUGACGGAGCAACGCCGCGUGAGUGAUGAAGGUCUUCGGAUCGUAAAACUCUGUUAUUAGGGAAGAACAUAUGUGUAAGUAACUGUGCACAUCUUGACGGUACCUAAACAGAAAGCCACGGCUAACUACGUG